rnacentral:rRNA from 1 species
UCUCUCUUGAGUGGAUCCUGAGUACGACGGAGCACGUGAAAUUCCGUCGGAAUCUGGGAGGACCAUCUCCUAAGGCUAAAUACUCUCUAGUGACCGAUAGUGAACCAGUACCGUGAGGGAAAGGUGAAAAGCACCCCGGAAGGGGAGUGAAAUAGAACCUGAAACCGUGUGCUUACAAGUAGUCAGAGCCCGUUAAUGGGUGAUGGCGUGCCUUUUGUAGAAUGAACCGGCGAGUUACGAUUUGAUGCAAGGUUAAGCAGUAAAUGUGGAGCCGUAGCGAAAGCGAGUCUGAAUAGGGCGUUUAGUAUUUGGUCGUAGACCCGAAACCAGGUGAUCUACCCUUGGUCAGGUUGAAGUUCAGGUAACACUGAAUGGAGGACCGAACCGACUUACGUUGAAAAGUGAGCGGAUGAACUGAGGGUAGCGGAGAAAUUCCAAUCGAACCUGGAGAUAGCUGGUUCUCUCCGAAAUAGCUUUAGGGCUAGCCUCAAGUGAUGAUUAUUGGAGGUAGAGCACUGUUUGGACGAGGGGCCCCUCUCGGGUUACCGAAUUCAGACAAACUCCGAAUGCCAAUUAAUUUAACUUGGGAGUCAGAACAUGGGUGAUAAGGUCCGUGUUCGAAAGGGAAACAGCCCAGACCACCAGCUAAGGUCCCAAAAUAUAUGUUAAGUGGAAAAGGAUGUGGCGUUGCCCAGACAACUAGGAUGUUGGCUUAGAAGCAGCCAUCAUUUAAAGAGUGCGUAAUAGCUCACUAGUCGAGUGACACUGCGCCGAAAAUGUACCGGGGCUAAACAUAUUACCGAAGCUGUGGAUUGUCCUUUGGACAAUGGUAGGAGAGCGUUCUAAGGGCGUUGAAGCAUGAUCGUAAGGACAUGUGGAGCGCUUAGAAGUGAGAAUGCCGGUGUGAGUAGCGAAAGACGGGUGAGAAUCCCGUCCACCGAUUGACUAAGGUUUCCAGAGGAAGGCUCGUCCGCUCUGGGUUAGUCGGGUCCUAAGCUGAGGCCGACAGGCGUAGGCGAUGGAUAACAGGUUGAUAUUCCUGUACCACCUAUAAUCGUUUUAAUCGAUGGGGGGACGCAGUAGGAUAGGCGAAGCGUGCGAUUGGAUUGCACGUCUAAGCAGUAAGGCUGAGUAUUAGGCAAAUCCGGUACUCGUUAAGGCUGAGCUGUGAUGGGGAGAAGACAUUGUGUCUUCGAGUCGUUGAUUUCACACUGCCGAGAAAAGCCUCUAGAUAGAAAAUAGGUGCCCGUACCGCAAACCGACACAGGUAGUCAAGAUGAGAAUUCUAAGGUGAGCGAGCGAACUCUCGUUAAGGAACUCGGCAAAAUGACCCCGUAACUUCGGGAGAAGGGGUGCUCUUUAGGGUUAACGCCCAGAAGAGCCGCAGUGAAUAGGCCCAAGCGACUGUUUAUCAAAAACACAGGUCUCUGCUAAACCGUAAGGUGAUGUAUAGGGGCUGACGCCUGCCCGGUGCUGGAAGGUUAAGAGGAGUGGUUAGCUUCUGCGAAGCUACGAAUCGAAGCCCCAGUAAACGGCGGCCGUAACUAUAACGGUCCUAAGGUAGCGAAAUUCCUUGUCGGGUAAGUUCCGACCCGC